CACUCCUACGGGAGGCAGCAGUGGGGGAAUAUUGCACAAGUCGGGGGAAACCCUGAUGCAGCCAUGCCGCGUGUGUGAAGAAGGCCGUCGGGUUGUAAAGCACUUUCAGUAGGGAGGAAGGUAGUGUAGUUAACACCUGCACUAUUGACGUUACCUACAGAAGAAGCACCGGACUAACUCCGUGCCAGCACGCCGACGGUAAUACGGGAGGGUGCGAGCGUUAAUCGGAAUUACGUGGGACGUAAAGCGCAUGCAGGCGGCCUGUUAAAGUCAGAUGUAGAAACGGCCCCGGGGACUUAACCCUACGGAAUUGCUAUUUAGAAACUGGCAGGCUAGAGUCUUGUAGAGGGGGUAGAAUUUCAGGUGUAGCGGUGAAAAUGCGUAGAGAUCUGAAGGAAUACCAGUGGCGAAGGCGGCCCCCUGGACAAAGACUGACGCUCAGAUGCGAAAGCGUGGGGAGCAAACAGGAUUAGAUACCCUGGUAG
rnacentral:rRNA from 1 species